rnacentral:rRNA from 1 species
UACGAAGGGGGCUAGCGUUGUUCGGAAUCACUGGGCGUAAAGGGCGCGUAGGCGGGUUCUUAAGUCGGGGGUGAAAGCCUGUGGCUCAACCACAGAAUGGCCUCCGAUACUGGGAGCCUUGAGACCGGAAGAGGUGAGUGGAACUGCGAGUGUAGAGGUGAAAUUCGUAGAUAUUCGCAAGAACACCAGUGGCGAAGGCGGCUCACUGGUCCGGUUCUGACGCUGAGGCGCGAAAGCGUGGGGAGCAAACAGGAUUAGAUACCCCAGUAGUCC